rnacentral:snRNA from 1 species
AUGCUCACUUCAGCAGCACAUAUACUAAAUUGGAACAAUACAGAGAUUAGAAUGACCUCUAAGCAAGAAUGACAUGCAAAUUUGUAAUUGUUCCAUAUUUUU